UACGUAGGAUGCGAGCGUUGUUCGGAAUCACUGGGCGUAAAGCGUGCGCAGGCGGUUCGUCGUGUCCGAUGUGAAAGCCCCGGGCUCAACCUGGGAAUGGCAUUGGAAACUGGCGGGCUUGAGUGUGGCAGAGGGGGGUGGAAUUCCGCGUGUAGCAGUGAAAUGCGUAGAGAUGCGGAGGAACACCGAUGGCGAAGGCAGCCCCCUGGGCUAACACUGACGCUCAGGCACGAAAGCGUGGGGAGCAAACAGG
rnacentral:rRNA from 1 species